rnacentral:sRNA from 1 species
GUCCCCGGAAGGAGGGCCGGGCCGGGCCGGGGCGGGGGAGCGAGGGUUUUUCGUUGGAAUAUACGUUGCACAUUUAUGGCGAUUCUGAGUGUGAGGGCAGACUUCUGCCAGGCUCAGCACAGCAUUUUCGCUGACAAGUGAGCUUGGAGGUUCUAUGUGCCAUAAUUAACAUUGCCUUGAAGACUCCUGGACACCGAGACUGGCCUCAGAAAUAGUUGGCUUUUUUUUUUUUUUAAUUGCAAGCAUAUUUCUUUUAAUGACUCCAGUAAAAUUAAGCAUCAAGUAAACAAGUGGAAAGUGACCUACACUUUUAACUUGUCUCACUAGUGCCUAAAUGUAGUAAAGGCUGCUUAAGUUUUGUAUGUAGUUGGAUUUUUUGGAGUCCGAAGGUAUCCAUCUGCAGAAAUUGAGGCCCAAAUUGAAUUUGGAUUCAAGUGGAUUCUAAAUACUUUGCUUAUCUUGAAGAGAGAAGCUUCAUAAGGAAUAAACAAGUUGAAUAGAGAAAACACUGAUUGAUAAUAGGCAUUUUAGUGGUCUUUUUAAUGUUUUCUGCUGUGAAACAUUUCAAGAUUUAUUGAUUUUUUUUUUUUCACUUUCCCCAUCACACUCACA